rnacentral:rRNA from 1 species
GAUGAACGCUGGCGGCGUGCCUAAUACAUGCAAGUCGAGCGAACAGACGAGGAGCUUGCUCCUCUGACGUUAGCGGCGGACGGGUGAGUAACACGUGGAUAACCUACCUAUAAGACUGGGAUAACUUCGGGAAACCGGAGCUAAUACCGGAUCAUAUAUUGAACCGCAGGGUUCAAUAGUGAAAGACGGUUUUGCUGUCACUUAUAGGUGGAUCCGCGCCGGAUUAGCUAGUUGGUAAGGUAACGGCUUACCAAGGCAACGAUGCGUAGCCGACCUGAGAGGGUGAUCAGCCACACUGGAACUGAGACACGGUCCAGACUCCUACGGGAGGCAGCAGUAGGGAAUCUUCCGCAAUGGGCGAAAGCCUGACGGAGCAACGCCGCGUGAGUGAUGAAGGUCUUCGGAUCGUAAAGCUCUGUUAUUAGGGAAGAACAAAUGUGUAAGUAACUAUGCACGUCUUGACGGUACCAAAACAGAAAGCCCCGGCUAACUACGUG